UGCUGGUCCUAUUCUGAAUUCUAAUAAUGUUGAUCACCAGGGAGAAAGAGAUCAGAGGACGGAUGGAAGGGAUGGCGACAACGUCAUAUUCGAAAGGGAAUAACGCUGGAAUACCUUGUUGUUGCUACCUGUCAGAGUUCAUAAUUAUGAACUAAAUUACUUGGCACUUCUUAGUUGCCAAACUUGACAGUUGCUAAGACCUUCUGUCGACAAGAUACACAAACAUACAAUUGCAUGUUCUCCCUAGAUCGCGGAUGCAAUCGUGGCAUGAGAUUGUUAAGAGUGAAGACAUGCAUAUGGGUACUAUGUAGAGUAUUCGAAGAGGUCAUCUUCAUGAAACUAGCAGAGGAUAGCUAUUAGGAAAAAUGAGAGAUG